rnacentral:lncRNA from 1 species
ACCAUCAAAGCUACCUUUGAUGUUUGUGCCUGGGUUGCUGUAUCUCAAAGUUAUGAGACUCGUGAUUUGCUUAGACAGAUCUUAAAAGAGUUCUGUAGGGAAGAUCGUGAGAAAAGAGAAGCACCUAACAACAUUAAUACCAUGGAUUAUAGAAGCUUGGUUGAGACUAUCCGCACUUAUUUGCAGUGUAAAAAGUAUGUACUCAUUCUGGAUGAUGUUUGGAGUAUUGAUGUACUGGACAAUAUAAAAGCUGCACUUCAGAAUAGUAAUAGCAAGAGUAGAAUAGUUCUCACAACAAGGAUUCGCGAUGUAGCUCUAUUAGCUAACGAGCACCGUAUGUUUGAGCUAGAGCCACUGGAGGCAGAUGAUUCGUGGGAUCUAUUUUGUAAAAACGCAUUUUGGAAAAGUGCAAACAAGAUUUGCCCACCGCCUUUAGAACAAUGUGCUAAAAAAAUUGUCGAGAAGUGCGGUGGCUUGCCCCUUGCUAUCGUAUCUAUAGCCCGUCUCUUAUCAUUUCGAGAACAAACCGGUUUUGAAUGGGAGAAGGUUUACAAAGAUCUUGAGUGGUAUCUAACUAACAACGAAUCGAAGCUCCAUGAAAAAGUACAUGACAUUUUGAAACUUAGUUUGGACGAUCUUCCCCAUUACCUUCGAAAUUGCUUCUUAUAUUGUUCUAGUUUUCCGGAAGAUUAUACAAUUGAAAGUAACAGGCUCAUAAGGCUUUGGGUGGCCGAGGGGUUCAUUGAAGAAAGAGAAAGAACGAUGGAGGAAGUGGCUGAGGACUACCUUAACGAACUUGUUCAUCGCUGUCUACUACAAGUGGCUGAGAGGAACGACGUCGGUGGAGUUUGUGCAUGCGAAUGCACGACAUCAUUCGAGUCCUCGCUCUAUCAGAGUCAAAGGAGUUAAGUUUCUGCAUGGUUUACGAGCAUUCACGGACAAUAUUGCAGGGAUCCAAAGCACGCCGCUUAUCAGUCGUAAGCAAUAUAACUAAUUAUCGUACUGAAGAUGAAUCUCAUUUGCGUUCAGUGCUUGUUUUCAACAAUUCCACGAACUAUGAUUUACUGCAGUCGGUCUUAAGAUCAUCAAAAUUUUUACGUGUCUUAGAACUAGAAGGAGCGCUAAUCGAGAAACUACCGAGUGAGAUCUGUAACCUAUUCAACCUGCAUUAUCUAGGCUUGCAAGAAACGAAAAUUAAGGAGCUUCCACAAUCAAUCGGGAAGCUACGAAAUCUGCAAAUAUUAGAUAUAUUUGGAAGUGAAAUAGAAAAGCUGCCAAAGGAAAUAACAAAGCUCCAAAAGUUGAGACAUCUAGUUUUGCCCUACAGUUUGCGUAAGAACAUCACGGCACUGGUGGGAAUAUGGCGGUUGAAGGGCUUGCAGAGUUUGGCAAACAUUAGUGCAACUAGGAAGAUUGUGCGGAAUGUAGAAGCUUUGACAGAAUUGCGGACAUUUUCAAUAACCAGCGUAAGAACCCAUCACUGUGCAGACUUGUGGAAUAGUAUCACAAAGAUGAACCAUCUUAUCGAUUUAAAUGUCGAAAGUGAAGAUAGGCAAGAAUUACAGCAGUUGGGCACCCUGCGCCUACCUCUACCAAUUCAACAAUUACGUCUACAUGGUAAAUUAGACAAAAACUCACUCCCUGAGCUUGCCACGUCCUUCGGGUCUCUUACAAACCUAACCACAUUAACACUUUUUUAUGCAAAAUUGGAUGAAGAUACAUUUCUUGACCUGCAAGCGCUACCCGCAUUGAGUUUUCUUGAACUUUUUUGCGCAUAUGAUGGCAUGAAGUUGCACUUCCGAGCAACAUCAUUCCCGAACCUGAAGGUAUUGUCCAUAUUAUCUGCCCCGAAGCUCAGUCAGGUGGAAAUAGAAAGAGGAGCAAUGCCAAACCUGAAUAAGCUUCAGAUACACAAUUGCCCCGAGCUAAAGGAGCUGCCCCACGGUAUCGAGUACCUUACCACCCUUCAGGAUUUAGACAUUAGCUAUCCAGCAGAGGAACUUGUUGAGCUGCUUCUAGGAGGAGGAGAAGGCGACCAUAGCAAUGACUGGCGCACGAGGGUUCGCCACAUCCCGAAUUUUAUUCUUUGGGUCAAACGAGACGGCGAGUAUGUCGAAGAAAGGAUUCAAUGAUUCCAUAUCGUGUAGGUGAGUUUGGGCGCUUUUUGCAAAGCACCGGCCGAGCUUGAUGCUUUCAUAUUUUCCGCCUCAGAUCUUCUAAAUAAUCCGUGCUUGAGGAAAAUUGAAAAUGAUGAUCGAUAUAUGCAGGUGUUAUCUUAUAUGUGUAUUUUAUUUUAUUUCAUUUUCAAUGUAUGUGUGUGUAAAAGUGGAUGCAUCAAAUUAGUUGGUGCAUGCCUUCAGCUACUCGUAUUAUGUAUUUGGAGAAUGCUUUGUGCCCUUAAAACUUUAUUUGUUGACUAAAAUAAAAAAAACCUUCCUCGUAAAUAUCCAUAUUUUUUACUUUUUACUUGUUAAGAAAAAAAAAAAAUUUUUUUUUUUAUGCAUCUUUAACAAUUUUAGGGUUUGUUUGGUUCGAAGUCGGAAUCAGUAUCGAAAUCGAAAUGAUUCAUUAUUUCAUUCUGUUUGGUUCGUCCCCUGAAACAGAAUGGGAAUGAACUAUUCCCAUUAUCAGUAUUUGGUUCAGAUAGAUGUCAGAAAUAUAAUCAAAUUAAUAUGUCAAUUUUAUCUUUAUAAUAUAUUAAUUUAAAUUCAAACUAAAAAUUUAAUAUUAAAAAUUUACGUCAAAAUUUUAAAAUGAUGUUAAAAUUUUAAAUAUAUUUUUUUAAAAAAAUUAAAAUUUGAAAUUAUACGGAUAAUUCAAAUAUAAAACUAAAUUUUGAUUUAUUCAAAUUCAAACUUAAAGUUAUAAUUUAAAUUUCAAUUUUAAUCCAUAAAUUUAAUUUAAAUUUUAAAUAAAAUUUGAAUAAAACUUUGGAUUUAAAGUAAAUUUAAAUUUAAAUUCAAAUUUAUAAAUUAGAUUCGAAAUGCUUGAUUGAAUUUUAAUUUUUAAUUUAGGUUUAAAUUAAUAUUUAAAUUUAUAAAACUUUUAUUUAUUGGCUAAAAUAGAGAGAACCUCCCCCCUAUAAAUAUCCCUUUUUUUCACUUUCUCCACCCAACUUUCAAACAACUUAUAUUCUGCUCCCUUUAAAAUUUCAAAAGUAUUUUUAGAAGGUGACGACGUAAAUGGAGAGGAAGAAAUAACUAAAUUUUCUUUAUUUGUUUUUUAAGAAAAACAUAAUGUUUUUUUAUGUAUUUUUGCUAUUUUUAAGGUUAUUUUCAAUAUAAAUUAUAAGAAAUGAACGGAAUGUUGGGAAUCCGGUAUUCGCCCCAGUACCGGAUCUCGUGAAUCCGCAACCCACUCCGAUACCGACUGUUGUGGAUUCGGUACCGAUUGUUGGGAUUCCGCAACGGAAACGUCAAAUCGGAUUUUUUACCAUCAACCCGUCUCCUCAGCAAAAGCUGAUACAAUCACAAAAGAGAGAAAAAAUCAAAACAGAAAAUAUGCGGGUAAAACAAGAUUCAUUAAAUAAGAGAAGAAUACACCUGACUCCUCUUCUGCACAAAGUAGCUACAACCCGAGCCCUCUUUUUGAAUCUCUCCUAUCCUUCCCUCGUCUUCUAUAAUCCCAUAAAGAAGACAAUCAUCCGCGCGCACCCAUGCACUAGGUGCACUAAAUAACUCUCUCUCUUUUUUUCUCUCUCUGGUACGGCUCCCAAGAGGCCUUUUCUCUCUCUCUCCCGUACUCACCCCAAAAAGAGACUCUAAUGCAUUAUAUAUAAUGCUCCAUCAAGAAUGUACCCAAUCCUAAUAUAUUUAGGAUUUCGACUCCAAUUAAUAUCUAAAUCUAUCUUAAUUAAUCUCUAAUAGAUUUAAAUAUUAAUCCUAAUUUAGUUAGGUUUAUCCUUUAAUUAAUAUUUAAAUCUUAAUUUAUCUCCAACAGAUUUAAAUAUUAAUUAUUAUCCAAAUAUGAUUCAAUUACAAAUCUAACCAAAUCCUAACACGGAACAGUGACGAAACUCUAAUGAAGGGGGGUUUAAAUGCAUCAACUUAAAAUUUUGAGAAGAUAAAAUAUAGAUUUUUGAAAGCUAGUUGAGGAAGUGAAAAAAAUAAGUAUUUACCUGAAGUUUUUUCUAUAGUUUACCCUUAUUAAAAAGAUUUUUUAAAAAAAUUGAAGAAAAAGCUUUCGUACAAUAUUGUCUUGAAGGAUAAAAGCAAAUGUCAGUUCUUAACUACAUUGAGUAAAUCCUAGAUAAUUAGGACUUAAAUAGAAGAGCUAGUUUCACAAAUUUUGCUGUCUAACAGAUUAGUGAGAAAAUCUAUUGUUAGAUUUCGGUUUAAAUUUAUAGUUAUUGAAAUUAAAGUCAAAUUUAUUUAAAAUUGAAGUCAAAUUUUACUUUAAUUAGGAUAAGAUGAGAUUUAGUUUUUAUUAAAACAUAAAUAGAGUUUAAUUAAAGAAUCUAAUUGGACUGUCAGUUCUAAUUAGUCUCAACAUUUGACACAGAGAGAAUUAAUUAAGCUCUCAAUUAAAUAGUAUUUAGCAAAUCGGAGGGGUCGAUUAUAUUAAAAUAAUGAUGACCAACUUGUUAGCCAAUUAAUUUUAUUCCGCAUGUGCAACUCGUAUCAUUAUAAUUGUUGAAACAAAAAUCAAAGUCUCUUGAACUUUUCUCAUAAACAGAUUGAUUUAAGAAAUAUGUUGAUUGUUUUCAAUAAACAACUGCUUCUUCUGAUGUUUACAAUAUAAUAGUAUAUAUUAUAUGAUUCAUUUACUAAUAAUUGAAUUGACUUUGAAUAUGGAUUUAUAUAGAUAUAGAUAAAAAUUAUCGAACCAAUCAUACUUUAUUUGUAUUUAUCCGAAAGAAAAAAAAAAGAAAAAGAUUUCUUCCGUUAAUUCUGAAAAGUUUUCCUAUUGAAAGAGGAGCAUACGUUUGUUCCUAAUUAUAUGCGGUGUGAUUAAUUUAAUAAUUAUUAAUUAUAACUUUAUUCGGCAACAUGAUUAUAAAAUCCUAGCCGUCAAUCCUCUCUUCCUCAAAUUCUCCAUAAUUAAUCUAUCGGUUUCGAUCUUUAAAAGAUUGCUAACACAUCUAAAAGAUUGAUUCAUUUUCUUCAAAUUGACGCAAGAGUUAAUUCGUGAUUGAAUCAUGAAUUGAAGUAGUCGUCUAAUUCGAUCAAGGGCGUGAUUUCGUGUGGACGCGAGUAGAGGCCAGACGUGUACGCGGCUAAGCGAGGACGAAUAAUUUUUACCAAUGAUUUUCGACUUUCGGUGAUCUCGACCCGCGCAAGAUAAAAAACUGGAUACUAUGGUUAACUUAAAUUUGAAUUAUCACAAUUAUAUUAUAUAUACUCUGUUUGGAAUAACUGUGGUUGAUUCAUAAUUAUUUGGCUUAAAGAGAUUCCAAAAAAUUUUCCCUAAAGUUUUUUUUUUUUUUUUCCCCUUACAAAGAAUAGACUUUUAUCUAAAGAUUAGCCAAUAUUUAUAUUUUACAAGGCCCAUGGGCAACUUCAUAAAAAAUAAAAAAUAAAAAUAAAAAUAAAAAAUUUUAGGGACCAUUUGCCGUGACAAGUUAAAAUCAAUGAGUUACGUAUAUGGUACGGGUAAUAAAUGGAAUUCAUUUCAACAAUUUGUAUGUUGGAAAUGAAUAGUACAAUCUUAAAGGAAAAAAAUAAUUGGCAUAUCCCACAGCAUAAAGAGAGCCUGAGAUCCCAAGAUACAUGAGAUCAUUAUGUGCAUAAUCAUUUAUUUCCUAUGCAUUCUAUUCAAACAAAUAAUUAAGAGAAAUAAACAUGCAAAAUUAGUAUAGUAGGAAAAAAAAAAACAAGAGAAAUUAGUAUAGGGUGUUGUUUUUGUUAUAAAUAAAUUAUAAGUAUGGAUCUAUAUCAAGAUAAGAAAAUAUACACCAAAUUUUAUAGAUCACCAAGACGAGAUUUGACACAGAGCUAAAUCUCUUCUAAAGGUGAUGAUUUACUAACAAUUACACCUUGCGCAUGUUAAUUGAUUUACGACUAACAUGAAAAAAUUGGUUUGCAGAUGAACCCAACUUUCGGGUGUACAAAUAGUAUUGCUCAAAAAUAAAAUGGACCAGUCGAACAUUUGCAUUCAAUUGUUUGCAUAAAAUUUACGAUUUCAUUUUUUUUUUUUUUUUUUGGUGUUACUUAUACCCAUGUUUAAAAUUUCUUCCAUAUUAGCAUUCGAGUCCUAUCAAAUAAACCAAGGCCAAAGUACACUAUUUUACAUUAAAAUCAGGAACACAAAAUUCCAAAACUCUAUAUCAAUAACCUGAGACAAAUUCAUAUAGAACAGUACAAUUUUAGAAUAUAUAACAUCAUUGAAAUAUCAAAUUCCGUCCAAGUUUCGUCGAGCACAAUUUGUUCUUUUCCUUCUAUUAUUUUUUUUCAACAUGUAUUGCGUCGAACAUAAACAAAACGAGGAACAACACGCCGAAGCAACAGAUAAAACACACUAUGUACCACUUUUCAAAUUACCCAGAAAGGUUUAAAUAAAACGAGGAACAAACAAGCCGAACCGGCAAAAGAGAAACACACUGCGUACCACUUUUCGGAGUACGCAGGAGAGAAACCUUUGGCGAACUUAAAAGUUUUGUUAAGUCUUUCAAGGGCAUCAUACCAUUCGAUCCAUCUCCGAGAGCAGUCUAUUUAUACGAUGAUUUUGACAAGCAUGAAAUGCUUCAGCAGAUCAGCUCUUCUGAUGCACAGCGAUCACAUGGAUGUCCAUCACCUUCAGCAUGACGGAUCGGCCGCAAGAAUCACACGGCGCCGUUCUCAACCCGCAUAUGCUCUCGUGCUUGGAGAGACCUCUGAGGCGGUCACGGGCAUCAAGCGGUUCGGUCCCGGCUUGGACCAUGUCUCCGCAGAAACGGCACACUAUGAGCCGCAACGGGCAGGUCAAGGACUGGUGUUGGACCUACCAUCACAAAGAAAGAAGUAAGAAGUUCAUGCGAUGUAGUUCGAUGUUGGCUCUUACUACUGUAGGUUAGGCCAUGCCAAAUCCAUUUUUGCAAAAGAAGCUCUUAUAUUAAUAUGUAUCAAAUGGAACACCUUCUAUUACCAAACUAAGCAGAUGGUUUCCAGUCUAAGUACAAAUGUAAAAGUACUCGAAUUUCAUUGGGUAAUACUAAAUAUUAAAAUCCGUCUAUUAACACAAGGAUAUGUUUAGUUUUACAGGUAUCAGCAGUAACAGACUCAAAAAAUGCAUUUUAUCGAGCAUAAUUUCAAAACAACAUGAAAACAAUAUAAACUGAUAUAUGUAGAUGAAAAAUCUCCAUAGAUAUAUAAUAAACUGCGCUUACCAUUUCUUCCUUCUCGAGGACUACUCCACAUGCGCAAUGGAGUGGCUGAUGAAAAACUUUCAUAUGCUUCUCCAUCUCCCCCUGUUGAAAGGCUUGUCCGCAUUUACCACAAUGCACAUGGUUCGCUGCUUGCUCCUUCCUGAGAACGACUCCGCACCCCUCAUGCUGGCACACCAAAUUAUGCCUGACGCAGUAUGCUUCAUGGAUCACAAUGGUCCUGCUGGAUAUAUAAUGCCGACAGUUCCGGCACUCGACUGAAUCGGAAUCAACUUGAGAGGAAGCAUUCAAAUGUUCUCCGACCUUUUGCCUGUUAUUGUUAAUAUUCUUAACUUCUACAGAAAUAUUGAAUUUCGUAACUCCCCUGAAGCCAAAAACUCCAAUGCUGUAGGUACCUGCUACAAGGCUUUGAUCCUUCGGUUUAAGGAUCAAAACCUUCGAGCCCAUCUCAUGGGAUGACCAUUCAUGUCGAUGUUGGGUCGGAAAUGCCAGUGGAUGCCUAGAUACAUAAAUAUUAGUAUCACCAUCACUAGUAUCUGCCUCGAUCUUGACUUCUAUAUUCAUUAGCCCGGACGAAACUUUCUCACUAACAGCCUCUUCAAUGGAAAACUUAUAGUACUUAAACUUUCCUUCUUCCACGAUUCCCGACUCAGCCUUUCCUAAUACAAGCGGUAUGAGCACAUGCUGUUCAUUCUCCUUGUCCAAAACAGAAUCGGAUCCCUCUAUAUCGACUUCAAUAUCUAUUUCUAAAAUUGAAACACUCGAAGAAGGUUUGAGCUCUAGAACUCUUAACUUGUACUGCAGCUCUCCAUAAUAGACCGUGAUAACAUCGCCUUCUGACAGGGUCGCGUGUUUUCGAAGAGUGGUUUCGAGGAUAGCUUUAUGGUUAGGAAGGUCGGAGAAGCCCACGGCUUCGGGCUUAAGCUUCGCAUAAGUUCCUUUUGGCAAGCUGGCAUAGUGCACCUCAAUUAAAGGAAUUUCAACAUUGGUAUCAGGGAAUAAAUUUGUCCAGACAUGCGGAGGCAGCUCUGAAGAAUUUUCUCGUGCAGUGAAUUCGAGGACUCCUGAAUGAGUUGUUUUCAUAUCUUGAUUUUCGCUGGAAUUAGAAGUUGAGGGACCUCCUUCAUUAACUUUGGACAACCUAAAGUACAUAGGACCUUUAUCCAGGGCCCCUUGAUCAGAUAGUUCUUUGAAGCAAGAAGGCGGUAGCUUGAUCUUGUCUCCAGAACCAUCAUAUGGAAGGGCUUCAAAUAACCUUGAAAAGACAAUCCCGUUGCCUAGAAGCAUGUUUUCUUCCAUCUGUUGCUCUGCCUGUCAAAUAGACCAAACAUUAAUAACCUCACAAGAGCAUAACUACUGAUAAUUAAGAUCUAUCUAAUAAACCACUAAGUAUGUUUAAGCGGCAAUCUUCUCAAUUAACUUGCAAUAGACAAAUAGCAGCAAAUACCUAUGCAUCAACAGUAGAAAGAUAUAUGCUAACAAAGCACAGAAGCCUGGAGAAACAUCAACAGGUACUAUCAUUCAUUCUAGAUGCCGUACGCUCUGAAGCAUCAUUUACAUAUUGAGGCUGUAAUUCAAUUGCAGUUAAGAGAAAGAUCAACAGGUACUACAAUUUUCUUUUUCUUUUUCCCAGUUCUAGAUGUCUUACACUCUGAAGCAUCAUUUAAAUACUGAGGCUGUAAUUCGAUUGCAAUUAAGAGAAAUAAGGUCAGGGAUCUUUCUUCAAGUACUUAACGGUGAUGGACCAAUGAGUAAGAAUUCCAUAUAACCUCAAUUUUCUCAUUCAAGUAUAUUCUCACCUGGUAGCAAAGUGCGAAAAGAUGAAUCCAAUUUCAAUACAAACUCCCACUUCAAUUAUUCAACGCAUAUUCUCACCUGGACAGGAAUUCUUUCCUUGGACUAGAACAUCCGGAUAGCAACUUUGUUCCCUCCUUGCAUUGAAUGCUUAAAUAUGUAUUAAAUAAAUUUGCAGUCGACAUCUGAUACCGUCAGCAUUUCCUGAUGCCAAUUCGCAUUAUUUUUCCUGGAGAUAGAAAAAUUAUGGGGCUCAGCAUAACACAACUACUAGAUAAAAUUUUGCAGGUAAAGAUCAGUCAUGAUCAAAUUUAGGACUGGGAUUGAACAAGAUUAAAUUCAGAAAUUCUGUUGUAUCCACCACUGGACCAAGCCCUAGCGCCGCGAACCUUAGCACUACCAAGUUGUUAAAACAACGCUCUCCUCCGACAUAACUCUCUAGUCUUAUUCUAUUCAAUCCAAUCUUGAGCAUGAUAAAAGGGCCUUAAGAUGUGGUAUCUCAUGAAGAAGUCACUAUUAACACAGCAAACAUACGUUAACAGUGAAGAGGACGCUUGUGUCAAACACUUGCUGCCCGGCAGUAACCUUUAGCCCAGCAGACAUCAUCACUGGGUUGGUCAAAAUUCACAGUUUGCCUGUAAUGAUGAUGAUGAUGCUCGCCAUGCCAGAUAUGUAUGUGCGUGCUACUAUCCUAAUGGCAGCGAAUCAGCAAAUCAAUUUAAGAGAUAAUGAAAUAAAACAAAUUGAUUCAUCAAUUUCUAUGAAAAUAAAAAAGAUUUUAGGAGUAAUAACGUUAUAUUCGACAAGCAGACCUUAGAAUAAGAUGCUAAAGUAACAUUCAUAUGCAGACCACCAGCUUCAACUCUGAAAUAAUUGUUUCCUAUGCGCACAGCUUUGACAUCCAAAGCAGGAGAAUUACUAUCUUCAAUCUGGCCGUUGAGAGAAACUGAAAUAUCAGAAUUUUCAGAUCUCUUAUCACUGACAAAUAUAGAAGUGAACUCGAACAAUUUGACGCAUUUAUAAGAGUAAUAUAUUACCGUGAUGAAAUAACUUCCAUCAGAUUGAUAUGUAAUGGCAAGUUGCAAAAGCUCAUUGCAGAGGCCAUCAAGCUCUUUAUCCCACUCAAGUUCCAAUACACGUUUGGCUCUGUGAUGCAUUCCGAAAGGUGGAUGGGUAUACCACAAAGAAAGUAAAUUGUCCCCACCUGCAAUUAUUCGAUAUUUAAUACAUCGAUAUCAUUUACCACAGCCUGCAUACCUGCAGACAAACAGGAAUUACAUACACUAUACAUAACAUGCAGGGAAGAGAUUCUCUUGAAGUGAUGUAUUCCUUUUCACAGAUACAGGCAGCAACCAGUGUAACACCGAGCUUAGCAGCAUUAGAUGCUUCGUCAGUUAGUUUUUCAGCUGAAUCAACUAGAAGAUCACUUUUGUGAUGCUCGAUGAAAUGGGUUUCUACCAAGCCUCUCUCAAAGGCCCAGUGACCUGCAAGCCCUUGGAGGAAACCAAUAUUGGUCGGCAAACCUGCAAUCUGCAGUGGCCAUAGUCAGAGAUGCCUGAGGCAGAGAAAUUAUUAUACACAUUAUAUUCAGAUGCUUCAAUACAAAGCGAACAGCAUGAAAUUGUUCACGAUACAAAAAUAAAUCGAAAGUGCAUCAUUGUGGAAGUAGAUUCUCUACCUCAAGAUUAUACAAGACAGCUAUUAGUUGGCAUCUGUUAGAAAUUUAUAUACCACGUACAUGUCUUCAAUCAAAAUUGUAGCAUUGCUAAGACAAACAAUAAGACGUUGUGAGAUACGACUAUACAAGAAUUACAAUCCAUCUAUUAUUACUAUGCAACAGUGCUCGAUCGUUGGCAUCAAGCAGCUGGAACUUACAAGAAAGUGCUAAAUAAACUUGAUGAUAACAUCUUGAUCUGAUAUUCAUACAAAAGCAACUAGACAUGUCACAUGCACCUGAAAGUUUGACAAGCAGCUCUUUAGUUUGACCAAUGCAGCAUUGCGAGUUUCGCCCCACACCACAAGCUUAGCAAUCAUUGGAUCAUAAUGCAUGCUGACAGUAUCUCCUUCCUCCGCUCCCGUUUCGACUCUCACUGUUUUACAAUAUGUAGAUUAGGGGUCAUUGUUGAGUCAUGGAAGACGUCGAGCUCUAGAUGUGUACUGGCUUUAUUAGCUAAUACUACCUAAUGUGUGUAGCAAUAAGCAUAUGUACUAUGUUUCAGUAGCAGAUAUCAUAGUUAGUUAAUUCGGAUUCGGCAAAAAUUCGGUACGGGUAUAAUUCGGAUAAAAUUCGUAUUCUAAUUUUUAAAUUCGUUGAAAAAAUCGGCUUAAAAACGGAUUCGCCAAUUAUUCGGAUACGUGAUUUAUACGGAUAUUAUACGUUUACUAAUUAAAAAUUCGGGAUCAAAAAUUCGGCUAUUAAAUUAAUUUUUUUCUCUCAAAAUUUAUGCAAUUAGCAUAAAUAUUCAUAUUUUUUAAGAAUAUAAAAAUAAAAAGCUACAAAAUUAAGUAAAAAACAAUAAUAAACAGAGAAUGAACACAUUCAUGAAAUUGAUUAGGUAUAAUAGAAGAGUUCCUGGUACCUAAGUUAAUUAAGAUUAUUUAGCUCUAUGUUUGGGUCUUCUUUGUGCAUAACAGAGAAUUAAUGGACACAUUUAAUUUAAGCACUCGAGCCAUUUGUGUAUAAAAAAGUAUCCAUCAAAUGGACUAAAAGCUUCCAACUUUUGCUUUGUAAAAAAACCACCCGAUUACUGAUCUAUUGUUGGAUAGCUGAAGCGGAAGCGGAAGAGGCGACGAGGAGGGUUUCGAUUUCUGAAGAGUGAAGAACCCGAUCUUCGAUCUUCGAUUUCUGAAGACGAGGGCUUCCGAUGGCGUUCGGCGAGCGGCUGGAAGGGAAGAGGGGGAGGGGAAGGGACCGCGACCGCCAUAGGGUCGGUGGCAGGGCCGCGCGCCGCACCGCCGCAGGGGUGAGAAGUUAGGGCAAACCCUUUUUUUUUUGGAGUGGUGGGGGUGGGAGUGGGUGUGGGACUUGGGAGGAGGGCGAUUCAGAAAGGGUUUUUUUUUUUUUUUUUUUUUUUUUUUUUUUUUGGGCGACAGGCGAUUUAGAAAGUUGUUUUUUUUUCCGUUUGGGCCACCCGUGAGGCCCGCCCGACGCGGCUCGCAGCAACUGGGCCGUAUUUUUGGGCCGAAUUAUUCGCGAAUCCCGUUUAAUUCGCGAAUAAUUCUUUUUGCCCAAAAAAACGCGAAUUAUUCCGAAUUUUUGGGAAAAAUGCGUAAACGGCUGUAAAAUUCGGGAUUUCAAAAAUUCGCGAAUAAUUCGCGAAUUAUUCGCGAAUUAACUAACUAUGGCAGAUAUUACCUGUUGGGGUAACAGGGACUGGUCGGUAGUGGUGUAGGGUUCCAGUUGCGGGAAGAAAACCUCUUGGGACAUUUUCAGCAUAUAUUCGAGCCUCAUUCUAGCAUUGCUACACACGAAAUGGAGUAAAGGUAGAUAAUAUGGCUAGAAUUGCAAGUUUUGAAGAGGGAAUAAUAGCUCAUUCUAGCAGUUUGCACAUAGGAAUUCAAGUUUGUCAAACGGGCACGAUUGAAAAUGUGUGAUCAAAUUAAACAAAGUUUACCAUUCAAGGGCAAUUGUUCCCGAGUCAGGGGAAGAGGUUCUCCAUUUGCAACACGAAUUUGCCACUCCACAAGAUCUUGGCCAACAAUCAUCUCAGUUACAAGAUGUUCUACCUUCAAAAUAUUGAUGUAAGAAAUCAGGUAUAUAUUUUCUGUCGCACAACAGCAAUUUGCAUGUAAGGAUCAAGUUGCACAUGUAUAUACUAGUGCACAUGCUUACCAAAUGGAAGUUUCCCAAAACAGUGUGUACAAGAAUAAAUUUAAUCAUGCACAUAGAACAGUAUUUUGAAUGUGAACAUUUUAAGGUAGAAAUAGCUGAUAACAGUAUGCCUGAUUAGUUAAGAAAAGCAUUAAUAACUGAAGGCGAGUAUUCAUUUCCAUGAAAUAAAAUUGCCCAGAAAGCGUAUCCAUUAUAAACUCCACUGUUCCGGCAUUGUGAUAGCCAACUGCUUUCAAAUUAGUUAAAAAGAAAUAUGAAAGUGCACCAACUCUGUGAGAAAUUUCAGGAGGCGGCGACGUGAAUGAAGAGGAAGAAAUGACUAAAUUUUCUUUACUUGUUCUUUAAGAAAAAAAUAAAAUUUUUUUAUGCGUUUCUGCCAAUUUUAAAAAUAUCUUCAGUAUAAAUUAUAAGAAAUAGACGGAAUAAUGAGGGAAUCCUUACGAAGGGAGUUUAAAUACAUCAACUUGAAAUUUUAAAGAGAUAAAAUAUAGAUUUUUUAAAAAUCAAUGGAGGAAGUGAAAAAAUAAGUACUUACAUGGAGUUUUCUAUAUUUUACCCUUAUUAAAAAGAUUUUUUAAAAAAUUGAAGAAAAAGCUGUCUAUAAUGUCUGGAAGGAUAAAAGCCAAUGUCCAAUGUUGGUUCUUAACUACAUUGAAGAUAAUUAGGACUUAGAUAGACGAGGUAGUUUCAUAAAUAUUGCUGUCUAACAGAUUAGUGAGAAAAUUUAUUGUUAGAUUUCGGUUUAAAUUUUUAGUUAUUUAAAUUAAAGUCAAAUUUAUUUAAAAUUAAAGUCAAAUUCUACUUUAAUUAGGAUAAGAUGAGAUUUAGUUUUAUUAAAACAUAAAUAGAGUUUAAUUAAGAAUCUAAUUGGACUGUGAGUUCUAAUUAGUCUCUACAUUUGACAUAUUCAAUAUUACAUAUAAGAUGUACGGCCAGAGGAGGGAAUUAAUUAAGCUCUCAAGUAAAUAGUAUUUAGCAAAUCAGAGAGGCCGAUUAUAUUGAAAUAAUGAUAACCAACUUGUUGGCCAAUUAAUUUUAAUUUGCAGGUGCAAUUCAUAUCAUCGUAAUUGUUGAAACGAAAAUCAAAGUCAUUUUAAUCUUACCCCUACAUUACCCCUACAAAUAUUUACUUUGUUUCAAGAAUACCCUCAACUCAUUUUAAUCUUAGUUAUACCAUGAUAUAAUGAAGGUUAAGAAUAAAAUUGUCCAUUUUGCCCCUAAACUGGUGAGGGCAUAUAAAUGUAUGUGGUCCAUUUUUUUUAAUUUUUUUUUAUCCAUUCAGAUUUCAAAUAUUGUAAUCAGUUAAAUAAAAAAAAUUCAAUUAAUAGGUUAAUUAGCUAAUAACAAUUAACUAUUAAAUGAAUUUAUGUUAGUUUCAACUGAAUAUUGGUCAAAGGUAUUAAAUUUAAUGGAAUAAUUAUCUUAAUUUGUGAAAAUUUUUCAUUAUCUAUUUUUUUAAUUUAUUAUUUAAAACUAUUAUUGGUUCAUGCAAAGUCCGUUGAUUACAAGAAUUUAGUUUGUCCUUUCAUAAUACAAAUUUUUUUAUUUCAGGUCGGAUUUUAUAUUAAUACUCUUAGUUAUAAUGUAUUCAUACCGGUGAAUUUUCUCUAUAUUAAGUAGUCAAAUAAAAAAAAAUUAUUACUUUACAAUCGGUGUAGUAAAAAAGAAGAUAUAACUAAAAUAAACUAUUUCUCAUUCUGACAAUAAAGAAAAAUAAAAUUUAAUUUAACUACAAUUUAUUCCAAAUAGAAAUAUUUAUUUAAUUGAAAUGAAUAAUUUUUUUAAACUAAACUCAAUUGAAUUUUACUAAAUUUUUAGUCUAGAUAGAAUUUAAUUAAUUUUGAAAUAUAAUAGAGGGUUUUUAUGAAAUAGAUUUAUUAAUUGACCCUUAAAUAAUUAAGAGGGGUAAAGUUGGAAUAUAAAUAUUAUUAACUUUAUUAUGGAUGGAGACUUGAUAGUAGGGUUAUUUUUUAAAGUUUCUUAAAUUUGAGGGGUAUACAUGAUAUUUCAAUUUUUAAAGGAGUAUUUAUAAAAUUAAAUAGCUUUAGAAGGGUAUAGAGAAAAUUUUCCCUUAUAUCAUAUACGCUGUUUGGAAUAAAUAUGGUUGAUUCAUAAUUAUAUGAAUAAAAGAGAUUCCAAAAAAUUCUACAACAUGCUUCCCUUUCUUAUUUUAUUGAAUCUGAUUCGUUCCUCAUUACCAAACAGAAUCAUAAUUUCUUCCAUAUAUAUUAAUUCUGAAAAGUUUUUCUAUUAAAAAAGGAGGAUAGGAUAGGCUUCUAGCGUAAUAAUCCUAUAUUUUUGUUCCUAAUUUUGUGGAGUGAUUAAUUUAAGAACUAAUUAUAACUUUAUCCUGUGACACGAUUGAGGGUUAAUUUUAAUUUAAAUUUGAAUAUCACAAUUAUAUGACAUGCUCUGUUUGGAACAACUAUGAUCGAUUCAUAAUUAUAUGACUAAAAGAGAUUCCAAAUUCUACAACAUGCUUCCCUUUCUUAUUUUAUUGAAUCUGAUUCGUUCCUCAUUACCAAACAGAAUCAUAAUUUCUUCCAUAUAUAUUAAUUCUGAAAAGUUUUUCUAUUAAAAAAGGAGGAUAGGAUAGGCUUCUAGCGUAAUAAUCCUAUAUUUUUGUUCCUAAUUUUGUGGAGUGAUUAAUUUAAGAACUAAUUAUAACUUUAUCCUGUGACACGAUUGAGGGUUAAUUUUAAUUUAAAUUUGAAUAUCACAAUUAUAUGACAUGCUCUGUUUGGAACAACUAUGAUCGAUUCAUAAUUAUAUGACUAAAAGAGAUUCCAAACAUUUUUUCCCAAAGUUUAUGACAAAGAAAUUCACAAAUAAUUGUGUUCUCUUCCUAACAAAGAACAUACUUUUAGCUAAAGAUUAAUCAAUAAUAUUUGUAAUUUAAGAGCACUACAGUGUCAUCUUCAAAAAAAUAUUAAAAAAAACUAAAAAAUAAUUAGAUUUUCUCUUCUUCUUUUUUUCUUUUUUUUUUGUUUUUGUUGUAGGGAAGUAUAUGGACCGUUUGGCAUGACAACUCAAUAAGUUAUUUAUAAAGUUAUGAUGGUAUAGGCAAUAAAUAGAAUUCAUUGCAACAAAUUAAUUGUAUGUUGGAAAUGAAUAAUGCAAUUUUAAUGAGCAAAAUAAUUAGCAUAUCCCAUAACAUAAAGAAAGCCUAUGACCUGAGCGUCAUGAGAUCAUAAUGCACAUAAUCUUUUAUUAAUUAUGCAUGUAUGUACACGCAACAAAUAAAUAAAAGAAAAAAAAAGAAAAAUUAGUAUAGUGUGAAGUUGUUUCUUUAUAAAUAACUUAUCAGCAUGCAUCUAUAUCAAGAUAGAUGCCAAGCAAUUUAAUUUGUAUACUUAUUGUAGUAUCCCUGAUUUUUUGGAUGCCCGUGGAUCUCAGCAUCUAAGGCUUGUCGACAAAUCUGGAGAGUAUCGGAGCAAGUUGGAGUCGUUUUGACGCGAAAUGGAUGCAAAACGGAUUCGACAUGAGGCGAGAGUGGAGUUCUGAUGCUGAAAUCCACAAAGUGCAGGAUUUCAGUGUUGAGUACCGGUACCAUAUAGGGGAGUACCGAUACCCCAGUGUAUUUUCAUAACAGAAUGCUCUCGGGUUGUGCCAAAUGAUGCUGAGUACCGGUACAGCAUCGGGCUGGUACCGGUACCCUGCGUGCGAGCUUACGGGCUGAGAGGCCGAGUACCGAUAACCAAAUCGGGUACCGGUACUCCAAUUGGAUUUUUGAGUAGGUGAGGGGUCUUUUGGUCAUUUGAGUUGUCGAUAACCCCAACCUUAUCCCCACCUCUUUAUAUAUGUGUAGAGAGACAGAGAAGAAGGUUUAGUAUGCUGCUCUCUCUCUCCCUCUAGUUCUUGGAUGUGCUCGUGGUUGAGAUCGUGGCUCGAGCUCGGGAGUUUUUUAACGUCGAUCCGGAGGGCCGUUCAAGUAUGCGUGCGUCGUGGUUGCGCCGUUGGAGACCAAGCGAGCGCAUGGUUUCCUCUUCUUCGACUUCUCGCCGUAGUUAGACGAGCUUUUCGAGGUGGGUUAAUGUUUACCGAAAUCGUCGGAAUACCUCCUAAGUUUUAGUAUCGUCGACAUGUAUCAUUGGUUUAUUUUUUUGCUAGUACUCGAAUUCAUAAAUUAGAGAUAAAAUCUGAAUUUGAAGUUAAGCUAGUAGUAUAGUUUUACAUAUUGGACUUGGAAUUGACUUAGGAGAAAACAUGUAGAUUCCACACUGUCACUUUCUGAUAAUUACCAGAUUUAGCUUUAGGAGCUGUGGUUCGUUUGUAUCGUCGUUGUUCGUAUGCGGUAGAUGCCCAGAUUAGUGUAGGAUGAGUUUACGCUCGUGCUGGGAUGCCGAGCUUAUUUUACAGUAGUGUGUAGACUGUUUCGGACUGUCAGGUGCCGUCGCGGUUGAUGGUGGACCCAAAUUUCUAUAUUUUUCAUUAGAUUAUGUCAAGGGCACAUAAACUUUGGUUGUUAGAUCAGCUAGACCCGUUUGCUUUGAUUAUAGCCUGUGAGAGCCUGAUUGAGCUCGGCAGAGACACGCUUGCAUACUUGGUUUAGUAGCACCCACGAGUGCCACUCCGGAGUCGAGCUUUGUGCGUUUGCAUUGAUGUUGUAGUGUCCAGGUUGAACUUGCUCUUCAUCAACAACCCAGCGUGGUGGUGGUUGGUGUAGUUUCGAUAGGCGGAACGGGUGCGUUCACAGUCCCUAGUGAGAUUGGGUCAGAGAGUGCAUUUCUAUAUCUACAGAAUAGUGGUUAACGAUAUUAUAGUGGCAUGUAGCUAUAGAGUUUUUCUAGCUUCCUUUACUAUUCUUGUGCAUAUUUUCUGUAAACUUAGUGGGUGAGCCGUUGAGGUACUGAGGACUACUCCUUUUUGUAAUAGUUCUCACACUCAGUUGUUGACCACUUUUUGCAGAGUCUUUGUCCGCGGCUGUUGCUGUUACUGAUUCUAAUCGUGGAAAUUAAGGGUGUUGCGAGCUAGAUCCUUUCCAGUCUUGUUGCAGUGCUAGAGGAGUACCUCCACAAGUAGUUUUGGGGCUUUUUGUACAUAUGGUUAUUGUCGGGGUACUUUCUGAAGCGAGUGGUGUAGUAGACUUUUUGUAUGUACAGUAACCCCUCGAGGUUUUUAUAUAUAUUCUAUUUUCAGUUUAGCAGCUCAUUACCUUGUGGUUGUAGCUUGAUUUGUUUACAGGUACAGCUAUCACUUCGUAUACAGAAAAAAUUUCUAUGUAUACGGCGGGUCUGUUGGCGUGUCCGGAGAAACAUGUAAUCCGGGGUGUGACACUUAUCUUGUGGCGUUUUUGCAUAUAAAAGUUUCGCAUAAAAAAUUCAUCGAUUUUGCAAUUUGUAAAAAUAAACCCUCUUUAGAUUUUGCUGAUUUGGCCUUGAUUUAUAAUAAACUAAAAUAUCCUUAUCUCUCUCUCUCUCUCUCUCUCUCUCUCUCUCUCUCUCGUUCGCGUUACUCUGCAUGGUUCAUCUCCGACCUCCUCUCUGUUGUACCUCUAUUUCUCCUCCUGCUUACUCUCUCUCCUCCUCCUUCUUCACUGCCCACACAUUGAUGCGCGCUUCUCUUUCUUACCUUGCCAACGUCCGUUGACGCCAGAUCGAAAAUGACACAAAAUGAGGAGGUGAGAUUGCAGCAGAAAGCAUGGCCAUACACGUUGACAAUGACAGCGACAAUGCUAGCUGCCACAAGAUUUAAAAACAACAGGCAAGAAGAGCACGUCGGGGCGGGUCGGGGGCUCACUAGAAGAAAAGAUAGUAUUAAUGGCAAAGAUAAAACAACAUGUGGCGAUAAUUUUCGUCACCGCUGUAGUCAUUAAGUAGCGAUAUUCGAUGGCAGAUUCACUUUUUUGUCAGUAGCAAGAGCCCAAUUAGCAUAGUUGACCUCACUUUGGGGUCCAAAUUGAUCCCAAGUGGGGUCCAAUAAAAAGUCUUAUUAGACAAAGAGUUAUAGCGGGUCCGGUGACCGGCUAUUUUUUUUCCUUAGCAGUUUUAAAAAGUUAAAAAAAGAUUUUAAUUAAAAAAAAAAAACUCUUGCUUCCUUGAACACCAGCUUGGAAACUUCAUUGUAGAUGUACGUCAAGAUAAAAGAUUUUAUAACUUGAGAGGAAUUGGUGAUAUUUCACAAAAGUUGGUUGAGACGAAAAAGCAUGUAGUGUAUUCACGAGUUUAUUUACUUUUGAAGUUGUCAUUAGUUCUACCAAUUGCUAGUUUUUUCUAUGAUGAACUUUAUAGAGAAUAAAUUAAGUAACUUUAUGUGUGAUCCAUGCUCAUAAUGAUUCUUUUGAUGGCUUAUAUAGAAAAAAAAUAUGCUUAACAGUGUUUCCAAUGAGGCUAUUAUGCAUUUUUUUUCGAAUAUGAAGUCGAUCUGAGGACAAUUAAUUUGUAAAGAAAUUACUUUAUUUAUAUAAUUUUAAUGACUAUUAUUUUUUUAGUUUUUUUUUUUUUUUUUCUUCCUUAUAUAUUAAUCGUAUGAGAAAAAAUUUCUAGAUCGCCCCCUGGCGAUAUUUUAUACAUUUGGUGGCAACUUUAGUCAACAGUAUACUAAUAUUGUUUGUCGUGGCGGCGCGUGGAUCUGCCACCGCGAUAUUUUAUACAUUUGGUGGCAACUUUAGUCACCACUAUACAAUAAUUGUUUGUCGUGCGGCGGCUGCUGCCCGAGGGCAAGAAGGAGGUGCAAUAGAGUGAAAAAUCUGCAGUAUAUGAAAGAAAAGAAGAAAAAUAAAAAUAUAUAUUUUCUUCUCCUAGGAAGGCUCAUGUUGUGCUAAUUGAUACAAAAAAAGCCCAAACAUAGAGAAAUAGAAAGAAGCAAACGAAAAUUGCACUAUUUCAGAUAUAAUUAGUAUCUAAAAUAUAUUUGAGACUAAGAUUGCACUAUAUAAAUAAAAAUUGCACUAUUUGAAUUUAAGUUCUACUGUUUGAGCUUAAGUUAUGCCAUUUAAAACUAUUUGAGACUAAAGAUGCAAUUUCUCAUACAGUGCAACUUAAACUCAAACAGUGUGUCAACCCCCAAGACCUGCCUAAAAACGCUCUUAGGUGCGUGCGACAGACCCGUUGAACAUGCAAGGUUUUUCUCGCCCGCAUGACAGAAUAGCAUUACACCAGCCUGCACAUCUUACAAGAAUAAAUAUGAAAAAGCAUUAGAGCAUUUAAAUUCUAAUUCAUGCUUAUACAAUAUACAACUCCCUAAAGAUUACAACCAAUCAUGCUUUCAAAAUUAAUGUAUGCUUAUGAUGAAUGAUUAUUGAUGAAUGAUUAUUUGAUGCUUAUAUUAGAAAAAAAAUGUUUAACAGAUGUUUCCAAUUCGGGUAUUAUGCAUUUUUUUCAGAAUAUAGAAGAUGCAUCUAUGACAAUUGUAAUAGAAAUGAUACUUUAUUAAAUUAAUAUUAUGACUAAUUCAUUUUUUUAUCUUUUUCUUCCUUGUACAUUAAUCCUAUGAGAAAAAAUUUCUAGAUCUGACAUGGUGAUAUUUAUAUUUGUGCAACUUUAGUCACCACUAUCAAAUAAUUAUUUUGUCGUGCUGGCGGCUUGUUGAGAUCCCUAGUGUUCAGCUGUGGAGCUUGCCGACAGCUCUGGAGAGUGUCGGACAAGUCCGAAUCACUGUUGGCGUCAAAUUAGACGUAAACGGACUCUGUGCGACGCUAGAGGGCAGCUUAUAGCGAAGAAAUCUGCAAAACUGCAGAUUUUCUCUGCUUGUUACCGUACAACCAGGUGGCUGUACCGCGUACAACCAUCGCGCAGAGGAUUAGCAGCUCUCGGGUUGGCUCUUGUACCGGUACAAGAGCCGUGUCCGCGUACAAGGGGGUAGUAGAGGGUUAAUUUAGUAAUUCUCUCCCUCGUUUGUAUCACCACUCCACCUACCUCUUUAUAUAUGCGUAGUAAGAGAGCUUAGAGAGGGAUUCUAUUGCUGUCCUUCUUCCCUCUCCCUCUCUAGCUUGAGUUGACCGUGGAGUAGUUCGGUUUGGAGCUCGGAUUCGACCCGACGUCGCGCCGCGAAGCGUUCGGCGGAUACGGUUGGGAUCCUACGCUGGCGAGAAAGCUCAGCGAGGGUGCGUUUUCGCCCGUUCUCGACGCUCCGUGUCGCUGACGAUUAGCCGUUGGGGGUGAGUGUUUCAGUUGCGUUUGCUUCAAGUUUUUGACAUUUCGAGCUAGGUGUGUUUGCUGAUUCCAUCGUCGGACCAGUUAGUAAUUUCAGCUCGUUCUCGACGUAGGAGAUCAGAUUGCGACGGGACUUUGUUCGUUGGAUUCGGGACUUCGAGAGGAAUCCACGAAGCCCUUACUUGCUGGAUUUUGGUGAAGGUUAGCUUGGUCGAAUCUCUGUUGUACCUCACUGCUGCAUUUCUGGGCUGAAUGGUGACUUGUGUGUGUUAGCGGGUAGAGUUAGCUCGAUUUUUGGACUCGGCGGAUUCCAGGUAUCCAGCAGGUCGCUCUACACCAGUGGAAGUCUUCGCUGCCAGGGAUUAGCUUUUUGGGUUGGGUUACAUCGGUUUUACUCCUAAGUUCACAUUCGUCGAAUGUAUAGUUUCGUUUUGGAUAAUACUAUUCUAGCUCACAAUUCAUGGAUUAAAUAGUAGAUUUCAUAUCUGAAUUUGGGCAUGUGGUAAUAAUUAAUAGGUUAUACAUGUUGGACUUGAAUGAAUAUUAGGAGAAACCUGCGAUUUGGACCUGUCACUUGAUUAAACUGUCUGAUUUAGCUCUUAGGAGCCGUUAUUUAAUUGUACUGUUGCGUAUCUUCGAGACAGUACUCCAGGUAGUUUAGAGUAUAUCUACACUCAUGCUGUUUCGCCGAGGGAUUUUACAGGGUCGUUAGGCUGUUCCGGACUGUAGGUGCCGUUGAGAGUUGACUGGACCCGUAUCGCCUUUUUGGCGUCUGAUUGUGCGGGGCACGUUACUUGUUGGGUUGUUAAGACCAGUAGAGUCGAUUUCUUUGCUUUAGCUUUUCAGAGCCUGUUGAGCUCGAAGAGAUACGCUGCAUACUCGGUUGGGUACGCCACGCAGUGCCACUCCGGAGUCAGGUUUUGUGCUUUCGCGUUUGGUGUCGCUCAUGCCAGUUGGACUUGCUCUCACGGAUCAGUUAGUGUGGAUAGAGCUGAUUAGUCGAAUGGGGCAGGGACGGGUGUAUUCACAGUCCGGGGACGGGCUAUCUACAGUCCCGAGUUGAUUGGUCAGAGUUGAUAAGACUACAGUUGGUGUUAGUGUAGGAUUGAUAGUUUAGUGAUCGUAGCCGAUAUAGCAGUUUAUUUCCUGCUUUUCUGACUACUCUUGCUAUCCCUUCUGCUAGACUCAGCGUGGGUGGAGCGAUUUGUUUUGGGCGUCCCACUGAGGACUAUUGUUUUUACAGUAUGUUCCGACGCCCAGUUGUUACCUAUGUUUUUGCAGAGCCACAGGUUCCGGCUGCUGCGCCGUCCGCGGACCAGGAUCGAGGCAAGGGCGUCACGAGUUAGAGCCCUACCCGUCGUGCUGAGCUAGAGGUGCCCCUACUGCAGGUAGAUGUUUUGUUUCGAGUUUAUGUACAUAGUUGACUUAACUCGCCAGUGCGAGUAGCUCUGUAUUUUGGUUUUGGACUAUGUAUAUGAAACUCAGUUUGUUUAGCUUCUGUUUUCUCUAGCAGCUCUCUACUACUGUUCGUAGUAGUGUUUGAUUCACAGGUACAGCUGUUGCUUCGUAUACAGAAAAAUUUCUUUGUAUACGGCGGAUUUGUCGGCGUGCCCGGGGAACGAGACAACCGGGGCGUGACACGGCUGCUGCAGAGGGCAAGAAAGGAGGUGUAGUAGUGAAAAAUCUGCAAUAUAUGGAAGAAAAAGAAGAAAAAAUAAAAAAAAUAUAUUUCUUCUCCUGGAAAAGCCAUUAUGUGUCGUAAUUGAUACAGAAAAAGCCAAAAAAUAGAGAAAAUAGAAGAAGAAAACGAAAUUGCACUGUUUCAGAUUAAAUUAUAGUAUUUAAAAUAAUUUGAGACUAAGUUGCACCAUAUAAAUAAAAAUUGCACUAUUUGAAUUUAAGUUUCACUGUUUGAAACUUAAAUUCAAAUACUUUCACUGUUUCAAAUACUUAAAUUCAAAAAUUGCACUAUAUACUUUCACUGUUUGAAACUUAAGUUACACAAUUUAAAACUAUUUGAGACUAAAGUGCAAUUUCUCAUACAGUGCAACUUAAACUCAAACAGUGUGUCACACCCCAAGACCUGCCCUAAAAGCCCUUCUUAGGUGCGUGCGACAGACCCGUUGAACAUGCAAGGUUUUCCUCGCCCGCAUGAAGCAGUAGCAUACACCAGCCUGCACAUCUUACAAGAAUAAAUAUGAAAAAGCAUUAGAGCAUUUUAAAUUCUAAUUUCAUGCUUAUACAAUAUCAACUCUCCUAAGAUUACAACCACAUCUGCUCAAAAUAAUAUAUGCUUGCCGCGAUCACGCGCUUCACCUGCGAUACAUGACUUUAUAAAAAGUAAUAAUAAUAAUAGGCUGUUUUCUAUACCAAAAAGAUAUUUAAAUCUUACAUCCAUCCAUCCAUCCAUCUGAUAUUUUUUAAUAUUAAAUAAAAAAUUAAUAAUGUUAGCUCGUGAGAAAAUAAUAAUCGUGCGAUGAAUAAGAUAUAAAAGUUUUAUUUAUAUGUAGUGAUAGCAUAUAAUUACUCUCGUUCGAUCUGUGCUCGAUGUGCAGGCUGGGACGUUUUUAUUGAUAGAUUUUAUAGGUAUGUAAAAUAAGGCAGAAAUUAAAUACAUACCAAAAUCCAGAAUCAAAAUAAAAUAAGAUAACUCACAGAGCGCCGUCGAGAAGAAAUUCCUGAUCAAUCUGUGGAAGUGUGAAGUCCGGCUAUGAUUUGGAAGUCACGAACCGAACUUGGGUGAUUUGGUUUCUCCUCCUAUCUCAGGCACUCUACCGUAUGGUGUGGAAUCGAUGAUAAUUCUUCACCAGAAUGCGUAUGAAAAAGUGGCAGGACCAAUACACCUUUAUAUAGAGUCCAGAUCGACUUCCCAUCAAAGCCUGAUUAGGAUUCUAUUUAAAUUUAAAAUAGAUGGGAUAGGGAUAAAAAUAUACCAUAUCAAGUAGUUCUAUAUAUGUUAGAAUUGACCUUUAUCUAUAGCAAAUCCUAAUUUAAAUAUGAUUAAUUGGGCACAAUAUAUGGAAAUCCUAACAAUCUCCCACUUGGCUCAUAUUAAUUAUAUUCCAUGAACGGAUUUUCUAUACUCCAAUCUUUAUUGCGCAUUAUUGGAAACUUUAUGAUCAAAUACUUUAGAACUCACUUGAUCUUUAGCUCAAACUAAAAGACUAUAAUGAUAGAAACUAUGGCGAUCCACCUCUUCAUAACAAAAUUUUUCUUCCAUAAUUACCGUGUCAUCUUCACCUCUUAGCCGAGUACUUUAUAUGGCACAACUUUAUGAAUGAACUUAAAGUGUAUGUUCAUUUGUUAAUAGACAAAACUUUAUGUCCAUUAAAUGGUCCAACACAGCUGCAUUAAACUUUAUUGAAAAAAAAAUAGAUGUUACAAAUUUAUACAUCAAAAGAACUAAUCAAAUCCAUAACUUUAACACGAUCUGUAUAUGACUCAGGUGCCGGCCCCUUGGUCAUUGGGUUUGCAAUCAUAAACUUGGUACUUAUGUAUUCAAUUGUAACAUAACCUUCAUCUAUCUUCUCUCUCACAACAAGAUAUUUGGUGUCCAAAUAUUUACACCCUGCUAUAAUCUUGUUGUUAUUGGCAAAAGAAACAGCAGCUGAACUUUCACAGAAAAUUUUUAUUGGAUAAACACCGGAGUCCACAAUUCUUAAGUCUGUGAUAAAAUUCCUAAGCCAAAUAGCCUGUAAUGUGGUUUCGUAACAUGCAAUAUGAUCCAAAGUUCCUUUCAAAUACCCUUUUAGCAGCCUUCCAAAUGCUCAAUGCUUGGAUUACUUUAAUACCUGCCAAGUAAUCCAACGGCAAAAGUAAUAUCCGGACGUGUGCACGUCUGUGCAUACAUAAGACUACGAACUGCAGAGGCAUAGGGUAUGCUUUUCAUCUGUUCAAUUAGUUCUUGGGACACUGAAAAUCAUUAAGCUUAUUCCCUUUCUGGACAGGAGCAACACUGGGCUUACAAUUAUGCAUUUCAAAAUUUUCCAAAACUUUCUUUAUGUAGGCGUUUUGAGAUAGACCGAGUAACCUUUUAUGUCUAUCCCUUUUGAUUUCAAUACCAAGAACAUAUGAGGCAUCGCCUAAAUCUUUCAUUUCAAAAUUUUGGAAAAGAAAUUCUUUAAUAUUAUGCAAUAGCCCAAGAUUAUUACUGACAAGCAAAAUAUAAUCAACAUAAAGGAUUAAGAAAAUUAUUUUAUCCCCACUAACCUUUAGAUAAAUACAUUGAUCAAUAAUAUUUUCCUUAAAACCAAAGGUCAAAAUAGUUUGUUUAAAUUUUAAAUACCAUUAUCGGUAGGCCUGCUUUAAUCCAUAUAUUGAUUUCUUUAAUUUGCAUACCAAGUGUUCCUUUUCCUUUUGCCAGAAUCUUUCAGGUUGAUUCAUAUACACCUCUUCAUAGAGAUCCGUAUUUAAAAAAGCAGUUUUGACAUCCAUCUGAUGUAGCUCGAGAUCAAAAUGAGCAACCAGAGCCAUAAUAAUACGGAAAAAUUUCUUUCUAGAUAGUGGAGAGAAAGUCUCUUUAUAGUCAAUGACUUCUUUCUGAGUAAAUCAUUUUGCCACAAGACGGGCCUUAUAUCUCUCUAUGUUACCUUUGGAGUCCCAUUUGAUUUUAUAAACCCACUUGCAUCCUACGGGUUUAACUCCUAUAGGUAACUCAACAAGAUCCCAUACCUUAUUGUGGUUCAUGGAUUCAAUCUCAUCCUUCAUGGCAUUGUAUCAUUCCAUAGAAUUAUUACUAUUUAUGGCUUCGGAAAAAUUAAGAGGAUCAUUUAAACUCUGGUCAUUCUCAUAAAGAUAGACAAUAUAAUCACUGGAUAUAGCCGGUCUUCUCUGUCUUGAGGAUCUUCUUAAAUCUAUCUGAUUAUCCACAUGUACAUCUUGAUGUGGAUUAUUCACUUGUACAUCUUGAUGUAAAUUAUCAACUUGUACAUCUUGAUGUGAAUUAUCAAUGAUAGGUUCACAAUAAUUUUGUGAUUCCAGGACGAUUUGUUGUUUUACUGGAAUAGGAAUCAUCAAAUCAUGAGGGAUAAUAGUGGGUCUGUCAAGUACAGAAACCGAAUGCUCUUUAAUUUCUUCAAAUUCAAUGAACCGAGGUUCAAAGCUCCCACUAAUUGCACCAUUCUCAAUAAACCGUGCUCUUUUAGUUUCUGCAAUCUUUAUAGGAAGUGAUGGACAGUAAAAUUUAUACCCUUUGGACCUUUCUGAAUAACCAAUAAAAUAUCCUGAUAUGGUUCGAGGGUCCAAUUUCUUUAUUUGUGGAUCAUAUAAUUUGGCCUCAGCUUAACAACCCCAUGUAUGAAAAUCUCUUAAACUGGGUUUCCUACCUGUCCAAAGCUCAAAAGGAAUCUUAGUGACAGCCUUAGUAGGGACCCGAUUAAGAAUAUACAGGGCUGUUUUGAGUGCCUCACUCCACAAUGAUAUCGAAAGGGUAGAAUUACUGAUUAUACUCCUGAGCAUAUCAAUUAAUGUGCGGUUCCUUCUUUCAGCAACACUAUUCUGAUCAGGUGUUCCUGGUAUGGUAUACUGUGGAACAAUUCCGUACUGCUCAAGAAACUUAGCAAAAGGCCUAGGGAUUUGGCCUUUAUCUGUUUGUCUACCAAAAUAUUCACCACCCCUGUCUGAGCUGACUACUUUUAUCCUUUUCUCGAGUUGAUUCUCUACUUCAGCCUUAUAUGCCUUAAAGGCAUCUAAAGCUUCAGAUUUUUCUUUAAGCAAGUAGAGAUAGCCAUAUCGAGAGUAGUCAUCAGUAAAUGUGAUAAAAUAUUUAUGGCCAGUAAUUGAUAGAGGAAGAGGUCCGCAUAUAUCGGUAUGAAUCAACUCUAAUGGUCCAUCACAUCUUUUAGCACCUUUAGAAGAGAUUUUGGUCUGCUUUCCCUUUAUGCAGUCCACACACAUUCCAAAGUCAGAGAAGGCCAAAUCAUCUAAAAUGUCUUCUUUAAUUAAUCUUUGGAUUCUCUAUUUCGAGAUGUGUCCUAACCUCUUAUGCCAUAACAUGGAUGACCUUUCAUUAUUAAUGCCACGUUUUGAUCCAACAUUUUCGUGCAUGGUAAGAAGGAUUUCACUAUAUGAAACAUCUAAAAAUACUUUAUAUAGAUUGUUUUUCAAAACACCAGAGCCAACUAUCUGAGAUUUAUAGAAUAAAGAAAACUUUAUUAUUAAAACUAAAACUAUAUCCCAAUCUAACAAGUUUCAAAAUAGAAAUUCAAUUCUUAGAAAAAUUUGGAACAUAAAAUGUAUCAACUAAAUCCAAAAUGUGACCAGUGGAAAGAACUAAUCUAAAUGUUCCUACAAAUUCUACUUUAGUUGGAUUUCCUUCAACUGUAUAGAUAGUCGCUUCACCUUUACUGGGUUUUAUGCGAUUCUGAAAUCCCUACACGGAAUUCGCCACGUGGCAUAUGGCACCAGAGUCAAUUCACCAAGUAUUAGACAUAACAGAAACUAAAUGCAACUCAUACAUCAAAACCAGAAACUUACCCUUCUUCUGGAGCCAUUUCUGAUACUUUUGGUAGUUCUUCUUCAUAUGACCCUUUUCUUUACAAAAGAAGUAAUUGGGAGUCCAAUUACUUGAUUGGCCUUGUGAACCAGAUGGAACUUUCUUGUUUUUUUUCUUUUUGAGUCAUUCUUGCCCUUUCCAUUCUUAGUACGCUUUAUUUGUCUCUUCUGAGAAACAAAGUUAACUGCAUUUCGUUUCUCUUGCAAUAAUAUGCCUUUUUCUUAUACACACAUGGUUUACAAUUCAUUAAUUGACCAGAGAUCUGAAAUAUUCGUAUUCAGAUGGCAAAAAGUUCAAAAUAAAGUGCACUAAGAAUGAAUCAGAGAUGGUUACACCAAGUGUAGUGAGCUGCGCUGCAAUAUCUCGCAUUUCCAUAAUAUGCUCGUGAAUCGAACCAUUUUCAGAGUACUUUAUGAAAGACAGUUUAUUCAUUAGGGUGCUCGCCAAGACUUUACUAGAGCUUACAAACUGUUGCUCCACAACACUUAGGAAAUCGCGGGCUGUCUCACACUCUGGAAUUGAAUUCCGAAUAUUUUACCGACACGCGCUUUCAUUAGUAUUAAACUAAGCUGAUUAGAGCGCUCCCACUUUUCUAAAAGUGCUGUUUGAGUUGGCAUACCUUUAUCUGUACGAGGAGCAGGGUUAUCCUCUCUCAAAGCCAAAACAAGAUCCAUACACCCUAAUGUAAGCAUGACCUGUUCUUUCCACUCCGAAUAAUUAGAACCAUUAAGCAUAGAAACAGAAUCACCAAUAGGAACAAAAGAUGAAGUCAUAACUGAAAUAAAAUGCAUGUUUUAUCAAUAAAAUACCACAUCAAAAAUUACCAUACCAAAAUUAAAAAAAUAUACUUUAUAUGACAUCACAGCCUCUCAUUUGGGAGCAGAGUUAUGAGCAUAAGUAUUUUUCGUUCCUUAUGCAUAUACUUUAUAUAACAUCACAACCCCUCCUUUGGGAGCAGAGUUAUGAGCAUAAAUAUGCAAUCAUUUCUUAUUCAUAUACUUUAUAUGACAUCACAACCCCUCUUUUGGGAGUAGAGUUAUGAGCAUAAAUAUGCAAUCUCUUUAUCAAAAAUUAAUUUAAGCUUUCUGUAGGUCGUGAUAAUUUCAAAUUUUCUAUAUGAAGAAAUUGUCAGCUUUGGCCAGACAAAUUUCUCCAAACGAGUUAUAAGAAGAUUACCAUCCUGCACCACCCAUAUACCUUCAUGUCUAGACCUCCUUUGGGAGCAGACUAAAUAUAAUAUUAUGGUGCAAUUUCUGCAUGCACAUCUUUAAAGCAAUUAAUUUAUCUUUUCUUCCGGUCGGGGCCGUUUUGGUUUGCACCCGAACAGUUGAAGCAAUAAAUUAAUCUGACUUAGUUCAGCAUGAUUAACAUGAAAAUUAUCCGAAAGCACUACUUUAAAGUAAAUUAAAUUAUUAUUUCUUUUAAUUAGGGCCGCUUUGGCUUGCACCUAACUAAUCGAAAUAAUAAAUUAAUUCAACUUAGCGCCAAAUAUUAAAUAAUCGAAAAUAAUUAUGAUUAUUUAAUUUUCAUGUUCAUUCGGUCAAAAUAAGAAUAUAGAUGCGAUAAUUUAAAAUAUAAUAUCACAAUCAAAUUUAAACUUUAUAUAUUCUAAUUUGACCACAAAUAUAAGAUAAAUAAAUUUAUGAUAAAUUAAAUAUUGUAUGCAAAAUUAAAUCCUUAUGUGAACGGAUUCUCUAUGUUCACGAUACUUUAACAAACAUGAGGAUCAAAUUUUGAUAUAUACAAAUUUCAUUGAAUAUAUUAAAGAGGUUAUAUAACCACAGAGUCAAACGGAUCCUUAAUUAAUUAAUUUGCAAAAGGAGCCUUGCAAUUAAUUAAUAAUGCUUGAGGUCCCAUGCGGAACCAAAGAAAAUUUUGAAUUAGUCGGACUCGACCAUCUCCAAAAUAAUUCACCACAUCUCAGGUUCAGAAACAAGAACCGGACUCUAAGUUUAAUGCAACAUUAAAAUAAAGCAUAUAAAAUUAGAGCCAAUCUAUAAUUGGCUAAUAUUAGUUUAAAAGAAGCCAACUAAUUAAUAAAUCUUGACCACUAUACAUGUACGAAGCCGCGCGGUCAACAUAUGUAAUAUUAACCGAAUUUCCAAAGGGUUAACGUUCAUGUCACCGCCGCAGUCGAGCAUGCCUCGUGUGAUCAAGAAGGCUAUUCAAACUUAAUUAGCCCACAAAUUAAGAUCGCGUAAUGUGUAAUAAUUUAUAAAAUUUCAAAAAAUAAAUCACUACGUAAAUCCUUACGUACACAAAUAAUUAUACUAUUAUGUGAUCUUAAUUUGGAUCAAGAACCGUAAAACCUUUUAUUAUGAAAACUCAAAAUUAAUCAUAAUUUGAUCCAAUUACAUAAUACAUACAAUAUUUAAUUUAGCAAUCUUGUCUCUGAUACCAAUUGAUAGAUUUUAUAGGUAUGUAAAAUAAGACAGAAAUUAAAUACAUACCAAAUCCAGGAUCAAAAUAAAAUAAGAUAACUCACAGAGCGCCGUCGAGAAGAAAUUCCUGAUCAAUUUGUGGAAGCGUGAAGUCCGGCUAUGAUCUGGAAGUCACGAACCGAAUUUGGGUGAUUUGGUUUCUCCUCCUAUCUCAGGCACUCUAUCGUAUGGUGUCGAACCGAUGGUAAUUCUUCACCAGAAUGCGUAUGAGAAGGUGGCCGGACCAAUACCCCUUUAUAUAGAGUCUAGAUCGACUUCCCAUCAUAGUCUGAUUAGGAUUCUAUUUAAAUUUAAAAUAGAUGAGAUAUGGAUAAAAAUAUACCAUAUUAAAUAGUUCUAUAUCUGUUAGGAUUGACCUUUAUCUAUAACAAAUCUUAAUUUAAAUAUAAUUAAUUGAGCCACAAUAUAUGAAAAUCCUAACAUUUAUCCCAUGCAUAAUUCAUCAUGGCCCACUGGCCAUUAAUUGCAGAUGGGAAAAGUCAGGCGGAAAGUAAGUUUCUUGGUAGCAGCUGCAGUGUCCAAAUCACUUGCUCCCAGUUAUUUGUUUAUUUAGUGCAUUCUCAUCUCUCACUCCUCAAUCCCCAAAACAUCUACGGCAAGAGCUUCUUAAUUUGGUUGUAGUAUUUUCUCUAGUUAAAUUUGAGAUUAUUUUGGAGCAACUCCCUCUUCAAUCUCCUCGUUGGAUCUGUGGUUAGUUGUGCUUCUUCUUCUUCUUAUAUUCUUUUUAAUUAACUUUUAUUUUCUUUGCUAUCAACUAGUUGAUUCUGCAAAAGGGUACAAAGAGUAUAGUAUAUGUCUUUGUUGAUUAAUAUAUUGUUUGGAUUCACUUGAUCUUUGGUAACAAAAUAACAAUAGAUAAUAGUUAAGGUAGAAUCAUUUGGCCUUAUAUAUACUUUCACUUUAUUGUUGAUGAUUGAGCACCUAAAUCGAUGAUCAAUACCAUGAAAGAUGAUUAAAGAUAGGGUAAAUUGCAUUGUUACCCCCUGAACUUUUGGCGAAGUUUCACUUUACCCUUCAAACUUCUAAAAUGGACAUCUAACCCCCUAAACUCUAAUAUUUCGUUCAUGUUAUCCCUUCCGUCAGUUUUCUGUCAAGCUCCGUUAACCAGAAACUGAGGGAAGAGGUAAAACGAAUGAAAUAUUAGAGUUUAGGGUGUUAGAUGUCUAUUUUAGGAGACUGGGGGUUAAGUGAAACUCGCCAAAAGUUCAGGGGGUAACAAUACAAUUUACCCAAAUUUUUACUAUAAAUUAUUUUUAUAUUUUUAUAUUAAAAAUUUCUAAUUGGCUGAAAUGAAGUACAAAAAUUUUAUUUAAGUGUAUUUUAUAGAACAAUACUUCUAAAGAUAAAAGGGACAAACGAGUACUACAGAAAAUUAACUGAGAAUUAAAAUUUCUAUAUCCGAGUGAGGACACCUAUUGUAAAUCAACCAUAUUAGCGAGUACGUUGGGAUAGUAGAGUGUUUGAAUAUCGUAGGUAGUUAGUAUCGCUCUUUUUUUAUCUUUAAGCCACUCUAAUUCAUUUCUUUCACUUUUAUUUUAUUACAAUAAAAUGUAGGAUAAAUUAUGGUAUGAUUUAUUUUAGGAUAAAAAAUAUAUAUAAAUUCAAAAUCAAGCACGAUCACUAACUUGAGGAUUAGUAGUCAAUCCAUAAGUAACAUAUUAUAAUAAAAUAAUUUAUAGUCAAGAGUCCCUACGGAGUAAAUUGCACUACUACUUCCUAAACUUUUGGCGAGUUUCACUUAACCCCCCAAACUCCUAAAAUAGACAUCUAACACCCUAAACUCUAAUAUUUCAUUCGUUUUACCCCUUUCGUCAGUUUCCGGUUAACGGAGCUUGACGGAAAACUGACGAAAUGGGUAAAAUGAAUGAAAUAUUAGAGUUUAGGGGGUUAAAUGUCCAUUUUAGGAGUUCGAGGGGUAAAGUGAAACUUUGCCAAAAGUUCAGGAGGUAACAAUGCAAUUUACCCAUUAAAGAUACAUAAACUUUAUAGAAAAAGAGUUUUGUGAUAUUUAAAAUUUAUUUUCUAGAUCACCAAGAGGGCACAAUACGAAUGGUCAAAAUUAGCAACCUUCUAAAUACAAUUUUUUUUCAAAAAAAAAUCUUAAAUUCAUAAUCUUGGUUAUAGAUAUUGAUCUAGAUAGUUGAGAGAAUUUUAUUUAUUAUCAAAAGCUCAACUAAUAUAUGCAGUUUAAUGGCAUUUAAAUUUAGUUUAUUUGUCUCUUCUAUUUACAUCUUCUACCAACGUAUUGACAUCAUUCGCAAGCUAUUUAACAUGUAAAUGAGUAAAAGAUCAGAUCCUAAGUCUAAUGUAAAUGAGUAAAAGAUCUUAAGUCUUUAAUAGAUUACUAUCAGAUCAAUCUUUUGGGUAACAAGAUCAAUAGCCACUAUGAUUCCUUAGUUUUAUACUAUAAAUAUCAUUGAGAAGUGUACAGUGGAUAGCAUAUAGAGUACGCAAUUAAUUGAUAGUGAUUUUCUUUGGAUUUAAACUUGCUAAUGUACAAUGAAACAACCUUCUACAACAUCUUACAAAUUGCAGCACAAAUUAAAGAAGUUAAAAUAGAACUUUUAGAUUCUGGUCUGAUAAUAGGUAGCAUGAAUUAAUGUCAAGGCAGUAAAAUUUGACACAUUAGAAAUGUGGGAGUUCACGUCUAAAAUUAUUUUCUUAUAUUUCCAUCAAAACAAAACUAUUUGAAUAAGCACUAAUAGUUUCUUGCUCAAAUGACUUUAGUCCUGAUAUAAACUUAAUUAUAAACAAAAAGAGGCCUUCAAGGGAAACUAGACUUAAUUAUAAUUGUUAAGAAUAAUGUACAAUCACUCUUAAUACAAUUCCCUCUACUUAGUGACUGGCAGUAGAUUCAUUUGCUUUCCAACUCUUCAUUGAUUUCAUAAUCCUCUAAAUUAAGGACUAUUCCACAUCUUGCUUUACAAAUAUGAGGUCAUGUGGGAGCUUAGUAUGAUUAGUUAUUAAGAAUCUUUUAUCUUAAAAAUUUGUUAAACUGAUUCUCAAACAAGUUAUUGCUUGUUGUUCUUACAGACUACAAUGUUGUUACUAGUUUUCUUCCUUUUAAUAGAGGAUUCAAACAAAUGUUUGUUUAGUACACUACAGAGUUAUCCUGGAUGAAACAAUUACAUAUUUUUUACGAAAAUUGCCUAGAAUCAUAAGAGCGUUAAAAAAUAAUCAUUUUCACUGGUGGUGCAUUUGAAAAGACAUGGUAAUUUGAAAAGAUUGUUUAUUUUAGGCUCAAUUCGGAAGAAGUGCCCAUGGCGGAGGUUGUGGUAAGCUCAUUACUCCUGAAUAUCCGUGCAACCUUAGUUAGUGAAGCAACUAAAUCAGCAACAUCACUAUUACUAACACGGAUAUCAGCAAUGAAAGAACUCCUGGAGGAUGUAAGUGACAUUAAGGAUGAGCUUGAGAGCAUGCAAUCCUUCCUACAGAUCGCAGAAAGACUAAAACAGAAGGAAGAGAGCACAAAAAUCUUUAUAAAACAAACGAGAGACUUGGCUUUCGACAUUGAGGAUAUUAUAGAUGAGUUCACGUACAAGCUGGGUGAGGAGCAAGGAGGGGUUCUACCCAUAGCAAUCAAGAGGUGCAGAAAUAUAAAAACCUGGCAUCACCUUAGCAAGAGGCUUAAAGAGAUCAAAAUUAAGCUCCAAAACAUUAUGGAAAGAAGGAAGCGAUAUGAUACGAGAGGAAUGGAAAAUGAGGCAAGACCUUUAAUAGCUGUUGGCGGUAGCAAAAGCCGUGCAGAAUUAGCACAUUUUGUCAAGGAGGAUGAUAUCGUGGGUAUUGACAAGUACAGGGACUUAUUGCUCGGAUGGUUAAAAGAUGAGGAUGAGCAGCAACGACAGCACGUGAUAAUCUCAGUGUUGGGUAUGGGUGGUCUAGGGAAGACAACUCUUGUUACUCAUGUGUACAAUAUCAUCAAAGCUACCUUUGACGCUUGUGCCUGGGUUGUUGUAUCUGAAAAUUACAAUACUGAUGAUUUGCUUAGACAGAUCUUAAAAGAGUUUUGUAGAGAAGAUCGAGAGAAAAGAGUAGUACCUAACAACAUUGAUACCAUGGAUUACAGAAGCUUGGUUGAGACUACCCGCACUUAUUUGCAGUAUAAAAGGUAUGUACUCAUUCUGGAUAAUGUUUGGAGUACUAAUGUAAUGGAUAAAAUAAAAGAUGCACUUCUGAAUAGUAAUAGCAAGAGCAGAAUAAUUCUUACAACAAGGAUUCACAAAGUAGCACUAUUAGCUAAUGAGCACCGUAUGUGUGAGCUAAAGCUACUAGAGGUAGAUCAUUCGUGGGAUUUGUUUUGUAAAAAUGCAUUUUGGAAAAGUGCAAACAGGAUUUGCCCGCCGCCUUUAGAACAAUGUGCGAAAAAAAUCGUCGAGAAGUGUGGCGGCUUGCCCCUUGCUAUCGUAUCUAUAGCCCGUCUCUUAUCAUUUCGAGAACAAACUGGUUCUGAAUGGGAGAAGGUUUACAAAGAUCUUGAGUGGUAUCUAACUAACAACGAAUCGGAGGUCCAUGAAAAAGUAUAUGACAUUUUGAAACUUAGUUUGGACGAUCUUCCCCAUUACCUUCGAAAUUGCUUCUUAUAUUGUUCUAGUUUUCCAGAAGAUUAUCGAAUUGAAAGUGACAAGCUCAUAUGGCUUUGGGUGGCCGAAGGGUUCAUUGAAGAAAGAGGAAUAAUGAUGGAGGAAGUGGCCGAGGACUACCUUUACGAACUUGUUCAUCGCUGUCUACUACAAGUGGUAUAUAGGGAUGAAGUCGGUAGAGUUUGUGCAUGUCGAAUGCAUGACGUCGUUCGAGUCCUCGCUCUUUCCGAGUCAGAGGAGUUAAGUUUCUGCAUGGCUUACGAGCAAUCAAGGACAAAAUUGCAGAGAUCCAAAGCACGCCGCUUGUCAAUCCUAAGCAAUAUAACGAAUUAUUGUACUGAAGACAAAUCUCAUUCACGUUCAGUACUUGUUUUCAACAAGUCCAUGAGUUAUGAUUUACUGAAGUCGGUCUUAAGAUCAUCAAAAUUUUUACGUGUCUUGGAACUACAAGGAGCACUAAUCGAGAAACUACCGAACGAAAUCUGUAACUUAUUCAAUCUACAUUAUCUUGGCUUGAGAGGAAUCAAAAUUAAGGAGCUUCCAAGAUCAAUAGGAAAGCUACAAAAAUUGCAAAUAUUAGAUAUAGGUGAAAGUGAAAUAGAAAAGCUGCCAAAGGGAAUAACAGAGCUUCAAAAGUUGAGACAUCUAGUUUUGUCCUACAAUUCGAGUAAUAACAUCCAGGCACUGGCGGGAAUACAGUGCUUGAAGGGCUUGCAUAGUUUGGCAAACAUUGGUGCAACUAGGAAGAUUGUGCGGGAUGUAGAAGCUUCGACUGAGUUGCGGACAUUUUCAAUAACGGGCGUAAGAACCCAUCACUGUGCAGACUUGUGGAAUAGUAUCACAAAGAUGAACCAUCUUAGUACUUUAUGUAUCAUGAGUGAAUGUGGGCAAAAAUUACAGCAGUUGGGCAUCCUGUGCCUACCUCUACCAAUUCAAAGAUUACAUUUGCAUAGUGAAUUAGACAAAGACUCACUCCUUGAGCUUGCCACAUCCUUUGGGUCUCUAACAAACCUAACCACAUUAACACUUGCAUAUUUUAAGGGUUAUUUUAGUAUAAAUUAUAAGAAAGGAACGGAAUAGUGACGGAACCUUAAUGUAGGGGGUUUAAACGCAUCAACUUGAAAUUU